rnacentral:rRNA from 1 species
ACGAACGCUGGCGGCAUGCCUAACACAUGCAAGUCGAACGAACCCUUCGGGGUUAGUGGCGCACGGGUGCGUAACGCGUGGGAAUCUGCCCUUUGCUUCGGAAUAACUCAGGGAAACUUGUGCUAGUACCGGAUGAUGUCUUCGGACCAAAGAUUUAUCGGCAAGGGAUGAGCCCGCGUAGGAUUAGGUAGUUGGUGGGGUAAAGGCCUACCAAGCCGACGAUCCUUAGCUGGUCUGAGAGGAUGAUCAGCCACACUGGGACUGAGACACGGCCCAGACUCCUACGGGAGGCAGCAGUGGGGAAUAUUGGACAAUGGGCGCAAGCCUGAUCCAGCAAUGCCGCGUGAGUGAUGAAGGCCCUCGGGUCGUAAAGCUCUUUUACCAGGGAUGAUAAUGACAGUACCUGGAGAAUAAGCUCCGGCUAACUCCGUG